UUACUUUGGUAAAUAUGAUUAUAAUCAUAGGGUUUUCAAUGGAAUUAAUGCAGAUGCAAUAAUAUUGAGGUUACAAAUUACAAAUACAUUUUUUUGAGAGGACAAAUUACAAAUACAUAAUAGAAGGAAGAAUCAAAACAGUGCAUAUAUUUGUUGAAGACCAAAAGAAUAAGAAUGUGGUAGCAUUUUGGUUUAUUUUUCAAGGUUUCUUUGGU
rnacentral:lncRNA from 1 species